ensembl:lncRNA
CGCCGUUGCUGCUGCUGCUGCAAGAUAUAUUUACGUUUGCACUGAAUCACAAGCUUCGCACGUCUCUCACUUUGCUCGCUUUCACCAUGAAUAUUCAGAAAAAAGGUCAAGUCCCUGCUCUCCUCUUGAGUCCCUCCCCCGUGACUGUGCAGAAUAAUAUGUCCCUGUGCUUGUUCCAGUGCUUGUUCCUGCACCAGCUGCAGUGUAUUUAUUUUUAUUUUUUUAAUAUUGUGGAAAAACAGGAGGAGGAAUAAUUGGGAUUUGGGUUUUUUUUUUUAAACAUCUGGCCUCAGUCCUAGAUUCCAGUUUAUGCCUCAGCUGUUUCUGUGAAGGUAUUCUGCGUGCAUGUGCCCUCACACAGAUUGGACAUGUGUUCAUGGGUUUUAAUCCGUACGCUGCAUCUGGCCCCAACGGCAGGACAGGAUGUUCUAAGCCGCCUCGUGUCUGCUAUUUAAAGUUCCUUGUUUCCGAACUUCUCUGUUAGCACCGUUUUUCUGUUUCCACGCUCCACUCUUUCACUCAAGUCCCCCCCUGUAAUUCAAAGUGAUUUGGAGACUCCUUGAUUGACUGGCAGCCUGUCCAAAGUGUCUCCUUACCUCCACCCCAAUGCAUGCUGGGAUAUGCUUCGGUGCCCCAUCCAUUGACAAGGAAAAGGCGACAGAGAACAUGUUAUAUCAUCGCGCGCACGGAGAGCCACUAAAUAACCGGGGAGCUUGAACAAAGGCGUCUGGCCUCAGUGGGAAAGCUACUUAACCUCACUGGGUUAAAUACAGCUCCGGCUCCAUGUCCCUGAAGGUUUCCUGAGAUUAAGCUGACGGCACCUGAGCAGCGACUGCAGCCUUUUUAUAAACAUAAUGUAAUAAAUCCACGGUCACACAGUCGGAGAAUAGAUACAAAGCCUGCAUGCCGGCACUUGUAUGUAAAUGUAUUCAUAAGCAGAAAGCCAGCUCAAGGAGAUAAUAUGAGGCAAGGAAAUAAAACUAAGUGUUGAAAUGUGGUUGCGUGCGCUACAAAGAUGCAUCUUCUUUCAAUAUUUAGUAUGUCCCGUGUCAUAAUGUCCACCAGCUGCGUUUCUUUGCAGGUUCUCGAGCCCCUGCUCAAAAAUGACUUUGACAAACUGAAAUUCUGC